rnacentral:lncRNA from 1 species
CCUAACCUAACCAAACCCCCAUUUCCCAUCUUCCCACAUCACACAAUAUUACACACACACACACAACUUACUCUCAUUUCACACAACAAUAUCUAAUCUAACCACACGUCACACUACAAUGCACACUCACUCUCACAUCACGCAACAAUACUUGACCUAAACACACAUCACACAACUCACAUUCACUCUCCCUCUCACAACACACAUUGAUACCUAACCUCAAAUACCUUAGCACAUAACACAUUCUAUAUAAAGGAGCUAGCUAGGAGCACACAAAGAAGAACCAAACAACACAUAGAAUAAAUAGGAGAUAAGGCACAAAGAGGAGAGGGAUAGCAAUAGACAUGGUAGAGUGUUUAGUGGGGGGGUGGGGGGGUGGGGAAUAGAGAGGAUGAAGAAGGUCUUCAUAGUUUGCUUUCUUUCAUCUUCAUCACCCUAUAAACGUUUACAUGCACAGAGUGUCCAAGCUAUCAAUAGUGUCUGGUUAUCGUAAUUUUUCUUAUUUUCUGUUAAUAAAAUCGAUCUCUUUAUUGAGUAUUUGGAGUCAUGUUCAUUACAUUCUGAGUUUUUCCAACUCCACUUAUUUCUUAGCUUCAAGAAAAAAAAAGGUUUCUUUCAUUUCAGGCUUAUACCACAAUUGUUAUUGUUCACCGGUGGUCUUGUAUUCCUACUAAGAGACACAAUAUUCAUAAUCAGUUUUUUUCUUUUCAAAUACGGUUAUUCAGUAUUUAAAAGGUAACAAGCAUAAGAUAAGUCAAACAACAGUAUGCAUAUACACCCAUCAUAAUAUAUGGCAAUUGGGGCCAUUAUUGUUGCAGCCACAACAUGGCGGUAUACGGUGAAAACACAAGGGCUCAUUGCCUUAUCUACGGUUGUCUUGGAUANNNNNNNNNNNNNNNNNNNNNNNNNNNNNNNNNNNNNNNNNNNNNNNNNNNNNNNNNNNNNNNNNNNNNNNNNNNNNNNNNNNNNNNNNNNNNNNNNNNNNNNNNNNNNNNNNNNNNNNNNNNNNNNNNNNNNNNNNNNNNNNNNNNNNNNNNNNNNNNNNNNNNNNNNNNNNNNNNNNNNNNNNNNNNNNNNNNNNNNNNNNNNNNNNNNNNNNNNNNNNNNNNNNNNNNNNNNNNNNNNNNNNNNNNNNNNNNNNNNNNNNNNNNNNNNNNNNNNNNNNNNNNNNNNNNNNNNNNNNNNNNNNNNNNNNNNNNNNNNNNNNNNNNNNNNNNNNNNNNNNNNNNNNNNNNNNNNNNNNNNNNNNNNNNNNNNNNNNNNNNNNNNNNNNNNNNNNNNNNNNNNNNNNNNNNNNNNNNNNNNNNNNNNNNNNNNNNNNNNNNNNNNNNNNNNNNNNNNNNNNNNNNNNNNNNNNNNNNNNNNNNNNNNNNNNNNNNNNNNNNNNNNNNNNNNNNNNNNNNNNNNNNNNNNNNNNNNNNNNNNNNNNNNNNNNNNNNNNNNNNNNNNNNNNNNNNNNNNNNNNNNNNNNNNNNNNNNNNNNNNNNNNNNNNNNNNNNNNNNNNNNNNNNNNNNNNNNNNNNNNNNNNNNNNNNNNNNNNNNNNNNNNNNNNNNNNNNNNNNNNNNNNNNNNNNNNNNNNNNNNNNNNNNNNNNNNNNNNNNNNNNNNNNNNNNNNNNNNNNNNNNNNNNNNNNNNNNNNNNNNNNNNNNNNNNNNNNNNNNNNNNNNNNNNNNNNNNNNNNNNNNNNNNNNNNNNNNNNNNNNNNNNNNNNNNNNNNNNNNNNNNNNNNNNNNNNNNNNNNNNNNNNNNNNNNNNNNNNNNNNNNNNNNNNNNNNNNNNNNNNNNNNNNNNNNNNNNNNNNNNNNNNNNNNNNNNNNNNNNNNNNNNNNNNNNNNNNNNNNNNNNNNNNNNNNNNNNNNNNNNNNNNNNNNNNNNNNNNNNNNNNNNNNNNNNNNNNNNNNNNNNNNNNNNNNNNNNNNNNNNNNNNNNNNNNNNNNNUUGGGGGGGGCUGGGGGAGGGUAAACCGAUUAGUAGUAUGUCUGUGUCGGAAGACCUUUGAUAAUUUCUAGUCAGUGUAUCGUGAGUGGCUUCUCAAUGAAUCGAAUGAAACCAAAGUUUCAUUUUUGGUUUAAAUAAAUAAAUCUAUGUCGACUAUAAUCCCUAACCUCCCAAGCUAACGAUGCGGGUUCGUAUGUUCUAUAGUCUUGUAUGAAACUAUUGAGUUAUCAAAUUGGUAUCAAAGCUAGCCAAACAUGUGUAUAAAAUUGGAUAAUAUACAGUAUUGUUUUCCUGUUAUGACGGUAGACACGUAAUUUUUUAUCUUUCCUGAGUUUUAAUCCUUUUUUUUGCUUUAAAUAAUUAUUUCAAGUCUAAGUUUUCUUAGUUACAUAUAUUUUGAUUGGUCAUUUAACUUUUAAAUAUUUUUAUUAGUAUAUAGUACUCCCUUCGUCCUAAAUUACCCGUCUCAAAUUUCCUAAUUUGAUGUUCCAUUUUACUUGUCUUUUUUCAUUAAUCAAGACAAGACAAUCUUUUUUUCAUGUUUUACCCUUUGCAUUAAUUAUUUUUUCUUCAAAUUAAAUUGUAAACAUCAUUUAAUAGGGGUACUAUGGUAAAUUAGGUAUGUUAUUAAUUAUUUUUCUUAAUCAAUGUGUCAUCUCAAUUUGGAACGGAUAAUUUGAAACGGAGGGAGUAAAUGAUUAGUUAAUAUUUCACCAUUAUAUUUUAUUUUUAUCUUUUUAAACCAAAACAAAAAAGAACCAAAACCCCAUUUCCCAUCUGCCCACAUCACACAACAAUACACAUUCAUAUUCACUCUCACACGAGGACGGACCUAUGCUAGAAUUUUAUGGUGAUUCGGCAUCCGUUACAUUGAAUACGCACUAGGUAUAAACAUUAAAAAUGUAUAAAAAUUUGUAUAGAAUUUUUCUUUUUCUUAAAAAAAAAAAUACCUUUAAAAUCAAGAAGAUAGUUGAGUGUUUUGCUUUUUAGGCGAAACCUCAAAGCUUUGGGUGUCAAUAUAUGUGUUCGAACCUCCAGCACGACACCCACAACCCUUAAAUUCCGGUUCCACAACUAGACUCUCACAUCACACAACAAUACCUAACCUAACCAAACCCCCAUUUCCCAUCUUCCCACAUCACACAAUAUUACACACACACACACAACUUACUCUCAUUUCACACAACAAUAUCUAAUCUAACCACACGUCACACUACAAUGCACACUCACUCUCACAUCACGCAACAAUACUUGACCUAAACACACAUCACACAACUCACAUUCACUCUCCCUCUCACAACACACAUUGAUACCUAACCUCAAAUACCUUAGCACAUAACACAUUCUAUAUAAAGGAGCUAGCUAGGAGCACACAAAGAAGAACCAAACAACACAUAGAAUAAAUAGGAGAUAAGGCACAAAGAGGAGAGGGAUAGCAAUAGACAUGGUAGAGUGUUUAGUGGGGGGGUGGGGGGGUGGGGAAUAGAGAGGAUGAAGAAGGUCUUCAUAGUUUGCUUUCUUUCAUCUUCAUCACCCUAUAAACGUUUACAUGCACAGAGUGUCCAAGCUAUCAAUAGUGUCUGGUUAUCGUAAUUUUUCUUAUUUUCUGUUAAUAAAAUCGAUCUCUUUAUUGAGUAUUUGGAGUCAUGUUCAUUACAUUCUGAGUUUUUCCAACUCCACUUAUUUCUUAGCUUCAAGAAAAAAAAAGGUUUCUUUCAUUUCAGGCUUAUACCACAAUUGUUAUUGUUCACCGGUGGUCUUGUAUUCCUACUAAGAGACACAAUAUUCAUAAUCAGUUUUUUUCUUUUCAAAUACGGUUAUUCAGUAUUUAAAAGGUAACAAGCAUAAGAUAAGUCAAACAACAGUAUGCAUAUACACCCAUCAUAAUAUAUGGCAAUUGGGGCCAUUAUUGUUGCAGCCACAACAUGGCGGUAUACGGUGAAAACACAAGGGCUCAUUGCCUUAUCUACGGUUGUCUUGGAUAUGAUAUCAUAUCCAGACAGAAUGAAUUGUAGAGUAAUAACAAGCAAAAAGAAUGUGUUCAAGCCAUUUUUGUUGUUUGUUACUCUGUAAUUCAUUCUGUCUGGAUAUGACAUCAUAUACAAGACCAUCCUUGGAUAAGGGAAUGAGCCCCUAUGUGUUUACCGUAUACGGUCAUGCCAUGGCCGCAACAAUAAUGGCUCCAGUUGGCAUAUAUUACAAUAGGUGUAUAUGCAUAUGUUUGUUUGUCUUAUCUCAUGCUUGUUGCAUUUUAAAUAAUGAAGAACCGAAUUAAAAAAAAAAAAAAACUGAUCAUGAAUCUUGUGUCUUUUAAUGAGAUUACAAAAGACUAUCAAUGAGCAAAAAUAGUACUAGUAAUAAGCAUGAAAUGAAUUAAGCCAUUUUUUUUCUUGAAGCUACGAAAUAGUGUAGUUUGGAAAGAAUCAUAAUGUAGUGAAUAUGACUCCAAAUACUCAAUAGAGAGAUUGAUUAUACUAACAAUUUGAAUUAUGAAAAUUACAAUAACCAAGCACUAUUUGAUAGAGGGAUUUCUUGGCUUUAAUUUGUAGAAAAACAGAAAACUUAGCUUUGUUCUUGGUGAGUAGAAGAGGUAAUGUUAGUAAGAAAUUAUCUAAAUUACUUCGACAUAAAUAUUAAUUUUAAUAAUUUCCUAUCAACUAUUGUUGUUGCAAACUAGGUUUUUUUUCAUUACUGUCAUAAAUAACAGUAAAGAACAGAAACAUUGAAACAUAUUCACUUAGAAAGAGGAAGCAAAAUAACAAGUAUCAUAUUUUCAUACAUAAUCCCCAAAAAUUUCAUUCAUUCAUUAAGGAUUUUUUUUUCACAUAUCUAACUUGUUUUACUUGCGAUAUGUCUAGUUAAAGGGAGUUUUUCUUGAAAAGUUGACUGAGUAUCCCAGUUGAAGAGCAUAUAUUACCUGCAACCAAUAACAUAAUCGAUCUUCAUGUACCUUCCAAUCACAAUAUACAUCAGGAUUGUGAACGAGUAUUAUUCAUGUUAAACAACUCAAAAAGCCCCCGGUUCUCUCUUGAAGGUAACAAGGAAGGGUACCAUUUUCUCCAGGAAUAAUGAACUACCUGGUUCUAUCAUGUAUAGUAACCGUUGCCAGUUUAAUAUCCAUGUAAAUAACAUUUUACUCUCACCAUACUCGGAGUUUCAUUUACUGUGCUCACAAGAAAGGUAGUUAAGAGUUAAAGGUACCUGCGUGCAUUUUUGGGGUACCAGGGUGAAAAAAGAAAAGAAAGUACAGACUUUUGAGCAUAUAAAGACAUGGUCAUUUUUUGUUUCAAAUGUAGAUGUUUACAUUGUUAAAAGUCUUGGUGUAAAUUAUCUAUCAUCUUGAUGUUACGUCUAUUACAGAUUUUGUAUACUCCCCUGCAACUUCAAAGUGAGGAAGGAUGAAAUCUGUUUCGCGAUGCAUAUACGCCACCACUAGGUGCAUUUUGAUGAAAAUUUACCCUAGCCGGGAAAAAGUAUUUUAAAGCUUAGAUGCAAGUGAUGUUUUAACACAUUAGUGAGAAAUCUACAUCAACAAAAUGCACUAAUUCGCUACAAGAACAUCCCCGCAUCUGAAAUGACUAUAUUAAAUGAAUCCUAUGACUAGCAGCUGGCACCGAUACUAUUGAAUGAAAACAAAGUUAUAUUAUGACUGAUAAAUCUUACCAGAAUAAGUGCAGAGCAUCAUAGAGCAGGGAAGCAGUCAUCUUUCGGAAUAUUUUCAGGUUGAAGUUACUGCAGUCAUUUGUUGCACAAGUAUUUCCUCAAUUCUAUCUGUGAAACCUGAGAUAGUCUGCCGUGCAUUUGUAUCCAAUGAGUUUGCCACUUCCUGAAAAGAUGAAAUGAAAUAAAGAUCGGAAGGACAAAAAACUAGGAUAGCGUCGAACCUGUCGAAUAGUUUUCUAACUUUAUGGUCUCAAAACAACUCGAAAAGCCCCUGGUUCUCUCUUGAAGAGUCCGAGCAACUUAGCCCAAUUGUAUAGAUGACUAGGUGGAGUUUGUAGAUAAUCAGUUGAUUAUGUAAAUUACUUUUUGGUAUACCACUUGUAUACGGUCUUUUAAUGGUGGCCGUGUUUAUGACAUGAAAUAUGUUUACUUGAUAAAAAAAAAGGGGUCCAACCAUCCCUUUCUUUCCACAAGAACAACCGAUUAACAUGAAUCUUCUACAUUCAUAUAAAGCCAAUAACUGACGCGUCCCAACUUUUUUCCUACUAAUUUGAAACACUUUUAGGAGGCAAUUUGAAUAGUUUACCCUUUUUUUUUUUUUGCAGGAAAUACCUAAUAUCAGAAAUUUAGGAAUUUGAUGGGUUUGCUAGUCAUAUAAUCUAUAACAGCGAUACAAAUAAGCAACUUACCGCAACCUUACAAAGGAGGGUCAAAGAUAUCUCUUGUGAGUACUGACUUGAGCUCUUGAGAGACAUCAGGGUUAAACCAGAGCUGAUUAGUGGCCAACCUUGAGGUAGCUUUAUGAAAGCAUCAAUUCCACCAACCAUAUGAGCUACUAUCGUCUCUUCUCUAUCCACGUAAUCAAAUGUAUGCCUGUUUGAUUUGAGUAGAUACAAGUACAAAAUUCAAAAAUAGAUCAAAUAAACAUAACAUCAGAGAACAAGAGAAAAAAAUACUUAAAGCCAGUUUGUACGUAUAAAUUUGGUCCUCUUUCUCCACCUUCUGCAUAAUUUUCUGGUCCCUUCUCAUGUCAGGACUAGGAUUUUCCAUACACAGUCCAUGCUUAUUCAAUUUACGAAGCUUCUCCUUUGCUUAUUCAAUUUACGAAGCUUCUCCUUCUUUCAUCAGAUUUAUACAGUUUAGCGCAUAUUCUUCGACUCCACUAAUUUCGAAGGAUUUCUCACUUACACGAAGAAUGACUUCCUCACCAUAAUAUUAACUCCCAUAACUGUAGAAUAGGACUACGUUAUUCAGUAAUCUAAUCUAUUAGUCACAUUAAGAUUCCGAUGGAUGAUGUCAAAAUAAAUAUAGACUUGACCACCUUUCUCCAACUACCACUUCAGAUUGUUGCAGUUACUAACUCCAAUUUGAACUCCUAGACUCUUUCGUAUUUAUUCCAAUAGUCCACUUACGAAACCAGUUAUUCAACACAAUAUUUCAGCACUGCUCCUAUGCCAUAAACCCUCAAUGAGAUGACAACACCAAGAACAUGCCCGAUGUAAUACCACAAGUGGGGUCUGUGGAGGGUACGAUGUACGCAGACCUUUUUUGAACACUGGUAAUUUGUAUUCUUCUGCAUUAAGGGCAGGUUGCUUACCGUGGUGUGCCAGGGUCGGGGGUUCGAAACGCCCCUCCAGCGAAGCUGGGGUGAGGGCGCGUAGGUCAGGCCCGGAGUGGUCCCCCCCUCCCCGACACCUACGGAGUAGGUAUGAACCGGGUCGUCCCUGCAUUAAGGGCAGGAUGUAUGCAAUCCUUAACCCUACCUUUUGGGUAGAGAGGUUGUUUCCGAUAAACCCUUUAAUGAGACGCUCGUGAUAAAAAUCAAUCCCUUCUUCAACAGACCCCUCGUUACCAGCGUAACUAACUUUCGCUCUUUUUUAGUAGAGCAGAAUCUUGUAACUAGUCUUUAGAUUUAUUUCCGCGACUAUUUUUUUUAAGAUUUAUGUAUAUGACCCAGCUUGUGACUAUAGAGUUGCAACAUGUGGAGCUCAUCUUAGUACUUGUAACUCUUAUGAUCAGCACCAUGCCAGACCUUUAAUUUUGUCCUCUGGAAGACAAAAAUUUGGCUCUCCUUUGUAGCAUACAAGCAGUGCGUCCUAAGGUACAAUAUGAAACAUCUAUGGGAGGGUUUUUUAAAAAAAAAAAAAUUAGGUGUAACGAACAUGAAUAAAGCACCAGAAAUUGAUAAAUGAAGUUCUAAAAUCAUGAUUGACACGAUUAUGAAUAAAUGUACAACAAACCUCUGCAGAACAAUCUUAAGUUCUUAACUCAAAUUGCAUGCACAAAGUACAAAAUAAGGACUAACCUUGCACUAUUUGCACUCUUCACAAGAAAUCGCCUUAACGUGCAGAGAACAAUUCGAUCUUGCACACUUUUAACGAACCACUCUAAAGAAGAUCGCUUUUCAAGGACUCCCACAGGAGAAUAGACCUGUCUGGAAUCAGUUGCACUGUGUGAAUUUUCAUAGUAGCAGAAUGAGAGUUGAACCACAGAUAAAUCAUGUUGUAAAUUACUUCCAAAAUAGUAAGUAAACACCAAUCACGCUGCAAAUAUCAACUAAAAACUUCGCAUCAAAUUUGACUUUAAGUAAUAAAGGAUCAUGAUUUAUGCUCAAGCCAAAACUUAGUGAGACCAGUAGAGUGUAAGAGUAAAAUGCAAAGGAAACACACCUGAAGGAUUUUGCAGCAUCAGUUAUUUCACUUAUAGAUACAUCAUUUGGGAAAAUCUGAAGAGCAUCACCAAAGAGUAGAUUAGGGUACAAUAGGCCAGAAAUGGCAACAUUAUAUCUUAAUGACCAAUAAAAACUAAGGAAAGCAAGCAGCUAAUUCAACAAAGGAAGAAAACAAAAGCAGCUUGCAGAUAAACCCAAUGAUUCAGUCGGUUAUAACUUAAAACCAACCAAUAUGCUGAAUAACACCAAACAGUAGAUUUUUAAUUUCGGCAUAUGCUUGUUGUAUCUCAUAUUAACUGUUCCACCACUUAAUUACUCAAUGUGUUAUGCUAAGCUUGUAUUGCUACUAGAUAUCUGAUGGUAAUAUAAAUUUAUAAUAGUCAAACAUAACAAAUUCUCUACACGAGGGAACCAAAAUUACACAAUUUAAUUAAUUGAAUUUCAAGUAUGUUGAGUCAUAUAUCACAAGGACGAAAAACAUAAUUUACCAACAACUUAGGGACCAAAAAUGCAGUUAUCUCUAAUUCUUAUGUCGCAUACCUCAACGUGUUUUAGCUCCAUGGUUCCAUCCAUUAGUUCAAUUAACAACUCAUGAUUUUGCUCUGGUGGUUCAGCAACAUCUAUUGUAUGGUUGUGGGGCAAGUUUUCUAAGUUUGGGAUAAAAGUUCUUAAAGAUAAUCUGAUAUUGUUCCCCUCAAAUUCUACUAUCUUAAGACCAGAAAAUGCAUCUUCAAUCUGCUCUAUAGCCUCGAACCUGAUUAUAUUGCAAAAUUAAGUGCACUGGAGUUAGACAAGAGAGAGUACGACGAACCAUGCAAAAUUUAUUUACGAAAAUACCUGUUGAAAGUACUCUCAAGAUCUUCCAACGACUUCAAAUUCAAUUUGCUCUUCUCAAGCUGAUUACCUAAUUCAAAGAUCUACAUACAAAAGGGGUAUCCUUAAUUUUCUUUUAAGGAAAUAACACAACAGCCAAAUAUGCUUUGACAGUUCCCCAGUAGAAAGAUUGUCAUGCAAUGUGAUAAUUGAGACUAUCAAUAGACUAAAUAAUUGUUGAUGCGCCAGUAACUGACAGCAAGAUUUGCAUUUAAAUAAUGAUAUCAAGCUACUCUAAGUUUAAAAAAAAUAAAAAAUAAAAAGUUGUAAGAACCUUGAAGUUAUAUUCUGCCGGUGCACUUGACAAGUUUCCUUUAUUGAGUACUCUUCCUUGUUCAAGUCCCUAAAAUAUAAGGUAAGAUACAAUAAGUAUAUUAGUAACAUGCAAAUGAACAAAGUUUUGAGUUCUGAGAUUCAGAGGAAGCAUGAUAAGAUUGACGCAUUAGACUUGGGUAAAUAGAAGAGGGAACAAUAUAGAAAAAGUGCAAGAAAUUGUUUACCUAGAAAGAAAAAUUUCCGCUGUCUAAUCAAAGGGUAAUUUUCUUUAAGGUAANNNNNNNNNNNNNNNNNNGUUCAGCAGUAUAACAAAAGUAUCCUUGCUAAUAUUCCACUUGAAAAUAUUUCAUGACUGACAACUUACCAUUAUUUUUUAAAUGACAUGACCACGCAGAAGAAUUAUGUAAUGAUUGCAACUGAGCAUAAGUGAUACACCAUAAAGCUAAUGAAUUGUCCUUCCAAGCCCCAUAAAGAAGACAAAAGUUUCAAUAAUGCAACUCAUUAGCUGUUGAUCAAAUUUUAAGUUCUUCCCACAAUUUUCUUCACAUAGAACUUGAGAUUGUAGAGUCGACUCACGAGCAAACAAAAGGCAACCACAACCUUCCAUUUUCCCUCAUCGUCUUAAGAAAAUAAACACAACAUUUUAACUUAUAUCCAACCAAAAUAAGAGAUAUUAAACAAAAAUCAAGCGGCAGUGAAAGCUAAGAAUUUAGAAGUACCAGCUUCUUAAUGUUAGUUCCAGAAUGCAUGACUCCAUUUCUCACUAUAAUUCAGGAUGACAAAAAUGCUCCCAAAACAUGACAGAUGCCAUCUUCCGCAACACCAGCCUUACAUUUUCAAACUCCUCCCCAUAUUCAUAGAAUUUACUGGAGACUAGUGAGGAAGUAAUUUGUUCGUUUCUAAAUAUCACAUCCUUUACGUGUCUUUCGCAUCAAUGAAACUACCAAGGAUUUCAAAUGUGUCACCAAAUAAGAACAUGAUGAUCCCACUUUGUAUCUUUAAGGAAGAAAAAUUAUAAAAAUUUGCUCUUAUGUUCUCCCUAUACAGAGAUGAUAAUGGUACACAUGCAACAGAAUGGAUGUCCAUAAUGGUAAACAUGCAACAGAAUGGACGUCCAUUACUGCCAAAAAAGCUUGCAAUAUUGUCAAAAACUUAGGCACUUCCACAAAUAGUAAUAGCUUCGGUAUAGAUUUGGAUCACACAGGAAUUAGAAAUUGUCACAGUUUACAUUCUUCCACCCACAUGCAAUUUAUUUGAUAUCUCACCUCAACGCUUUAGUUCGGGCAGCAGCCAGAUACCAUAAAACGAUAGCAUGUCCAAUUUCUUAAGGAACCAACAAGUAAACAUGUUUCCUAAACCUGCAAGCAAUCCCCCUCCACCCCACACUGAUCAACAAACUUAGUUUAUAUUCAAGGAGAAUAAGCGGAUGAACAGAAACAAACCAGUGAUUCAAUGAGCUCCAAAGGACAACUAAGGCCUUCAAUCUCAUUCACCAAUUUGCUAUAACCUACAGAAAAAGCAAACGUUUCAAAAUCAAACGUCAAGCACGUGUCGCAAUCCCACAAAUAUCUGAAUUUUCCAAAACCACCAGGAGUCCUUAAUACCUUCAACAUAUUCCUUUGAAAGCCUCUCAAUUUCUUCUUCUAUUUUUGCAUUCUUAGCCUCCUCUGCACUUAGCUCAUUCUUCAAAUAUUUCCAAAAUUCAUCUGAUGUAGCAAACACAAGAAAUUAAAUGGCAGAUAAAGCUCCCUCCAAACAGAUACGUGUGUGCCUAUGUAAAGCUCCCCCAAAACAUAUGUGUGUGUGCGGUGUAUUGUACACAGCACACAGACACAUGGAGGGAAAAACAAGAUAUGAAAAGCUUUUCUUCUACCUAAAUCCUGAUCAGACGAGAAGCUGACUUCUGAAGCAUCACAUAAUAUCUGCUCCACCUUGCUCUGCAAAAUCAUACCCAGUAAAAAAACACGACUUGGAUAGAAAAAUAUAGUGAACAUGACAAGCCGUCAAAAGAAACAUGAAAUGAUCCAUUCACCAAAAGAUAACCUCUCUUGCUCUCAUCAAUUUGUCUAUUCCUUGUCCCUUAUGAAGAGUCAAUUUGAUCUUUUUUAGGAGCUAACGUGUUUGGUAUUGGUAAAAAUGCAUUCUAAGAUGAACUCAUUUUUCAUUGUUUGGUUAUCUUAUCUAUAGCUUUUGGUCAUAGAUUUUGGGAGUAGUUUUUGAAAAUUUAUCUUCAAACACUUGUUUGGCCAUGAAAUUUGAUUAAGAUUUUGAAAAACUGAUCUUCAAGUAUUUUCAAGUUCCGAAAAACUAGGUCAAACCAGUUUUUGGGACUUCCACUCAUAAAACUUCAAUUUCAAGUAAAAUGCAUGCCUAAACACAACUUCAAAAACUCAAAUUUCCAAGUUUAAAGUUUCAACUUCAAAAUCUAUGGCCAAACGGGAGUGAAAAAUGUUCUCUUCAAUGAAAACAAUUUCCACCUAAAAGUGGAAAAUAACUUCUUUUAGCUAAUGAAAGAACUCAUUUUCCUCUCCAAAUAUCCCAAAUUUUACUCCAUGUUACUUGCGAUAUUGUUUUCAACCUUAACAUAAAAAAAAAAAAACAGUAGGUGAUUUCUUUCCAUCUAUUCUGGCCUCGGUCGACAGAGUUAUCGAGGUGCGAACAAGCUAGCUUGGACACCACGGUCAUAAAAAUAAUAAGAAAAUACAAAUAAAAAAGCUUCUUUAGCUAAUAAAAAACACACUAGGUGAUUUUUCCUAUCUAUUUUAGCCUCGGUCGACAGAGUUAUCGAGGUGCGAGCAAGCUAGCCAGGACACCACAGUCAUAAGAAUAAUAAAAAAAUACAAAUAAAAAAGUUUCUUUAGCUAAUAAAAGAACUCAUUUUCCUCUCCAGAUAUCCCAACUUUUACUCCAUUUACUUGUGACAUUGUUUUCAACCAUAACAUAACAAAAACACUAGGUGAUUUCUUCUCAUCUCUAGCCUCGGUCGAAAGAGUUGUCGAGGUGCGAGCAAGCUGGCCUGGACACAACGGUCAUAAAAAAAACAAUAAGAAAAUACAAAUAAAAUAUCUUCUUUAGCUAAUAAAAGAACUCAUUUUCCUCUCCAAAUAUCCCAACUUUUACUCCAUGUUACUUGUGACAAUUGCUUUCAACUUAACAAAAAAAAACCACUAGUUGAUUCCUUCCUAUCUAUUCUAGCCUCGAUCGACAGAAUUGUCGAGGUGCAAGCAAGCUAUCCUGGACAUCACGGUCAUAAAAAAUAACAAGAAAAUACAAAUAAAAUAGCUUCUUUUAGCUAAUAAAAGGACUCAUUUUCCUCUCCAAACAUCCCAAUUUUUACUCCAUGUUACUUGUGACAUUGUUUUCAACCUUAAAAAACAAUAGGUAAUUUCUUCCCAUUUAUUCUAGCCUUAGUGUAUAGAAUUGCCGAGGUGAGAGCAAGCUAGCCCGGACACUACAAUCACAAAAAAAUAACAAGAAAAUACAAAUAAAAUAGCUUCUUUAGCUAAUAAAAGAACUCAUUGACUCUCCAAAUAUCCCAAUUUUUACUUCAUGUUACUUGUGACAUUGUUUUUAACCUUAACAAAAAUAAAUAAAUAAAUAAAUAAUAGGUGAUUUCUUCCUAUUUAUUCUAGCCUCGGUUGAUAAAGUUGUGAGGUGCAAGCAAGCUGGUCCGGAUACUACGGUCAUAGGAAAAAUAAUAAGAAAAUAAAAUAAAAUAGAAAAAACAAAUUCAUUUUUCUAUUUAUUUAGUUUAUUUUACCUCAAAUUGAAGUGUACAAUCUUCGAGUAAUUUCUUCAAUUCUAAACCAAAUUCUUCUGGCUCUUCCACACUUCUUUGAAUUUCUCUAAGCUCUUUAAUUUUCCUAUUUUUACCAUAUUCAAAAACAACAAACACUAAAAAUUAAAAAGCAUAAAUUUACUUUAGUAUAAAAUUAAAAUUAAGAAGAAAAAAAAAUAAAGUACCUUCUAAGAGAAUCAACGUCAUUUUCACUUGAAUUUUCCAUUUUUUGCUCCAAUUUUUGUAUUUUCUUCAGUUUUUUUUUUUAAUUAUUAAUUUUGCUGUAAUUUAAACUCCCGCCAUUGUUACAAGUAGGAAGGGGAAGUGGAUGUGGAUCAGUAAGAGGCCCAUGUAUUAUUUUGGAUUUUUUGGAUUGGCCCAUUUAUAUAAGCCCAUUAAAUUCUGGCCCAACAUCUCAUUAAAAGGAAAAAUGACAUAAACAUACACCUUAUUACAAAAAUUCUACCCUUACAAAGUAAUUACAAAAAUUUCAACUAAUUAUGUAUCUUCGUUGGAUGUAUCAAAAGUUAAUUAUACAUCUCAACAGACUCAAAAUAAAAAAAAAUAUCGGGAGCUAAUUACAUUUCUUUACAAAGGAAAAAACGUAUCUUCAUUGAAUGUAUCGGGAGCUAAUUAUGUAUCUCGACAGACCCAAAAUUGAAGUUUUCAAUAGUAUGCAAAAUGUCAGAAUUCUCUGUAAUUAAGCUCCAAACUGUCGAAAUUUAUGUUGCUUAUGCAAAAGAAAAACAUUCACAUUUCCAAAUUGUGUGGUUUACUGACAGAAACAACGAUAGUUUGAGUUAUAAUUAUCAAAUAUAGUGAUAGUUUGAAUAAUUACUAAGCAUAACUAGACUCUGUAUUAGCUAUGCAACAGUUUCUGAAAUUCAUUUUGUAGUUGUGAAACAACAAUGGAUACAAAAUUAUUGUAUCACUGAUACAAUGCGAAUUUCUAAACUUUGGUUGUGUUUGAUAAUUUUUUUAAAACUACCGCUAAGUUUGAUAAAUCUAGUGUAUAAGUUUGCCUAAUUAGGUGAUUACCCUUUAGCUUAUUUUUAAGUGCUUUUUUAUUUUUCAUAGUGUAAUUAAAAAAAAAAAAAAAAAAAGGUGGUACAAAGGCAGUUUGUUUUUUGCUCGAUAAAAUUUUUUGGGGAAAAAACUAAUUGUUGCUCAAAAGUAUUUUUAGAAUUUAGUUGUGAAACAAAAACUGCUUUUCAAAAUUAACUGAUUUAGAAGUUUGAUCAAUUAGACGGUUAAUAUACAUAUUGAUUAAACAUUUUUUGGAGCAACAUAAUACGUAAAAAUGUUGCAGAUGUAUGACUAAUAUGAAUUGUGAUAAAAUGAUUGAGAUCUCUUCAUCUUUAACCAAAAUUUAUGUUCGAGUCAUGGGCAUAGAGAAAACGUGAGUCAACAUGAACAUGUAUUUCAAAAGGUUGCAAAUGAGAUCCAAAUAAGUUUUAUAAGAUAAACAAGAAAACAUUGCAAACAAAAUUAAAGAGGUCAUAAAAUAAACAGAAAGACAAAAGAGAGUUCACUUUUAUAGAAAAGUUGAAAUCAAGUUUUAAGGCUUUUUUUGCUUAAUUUAUGAAUAAUAAAAAUCAUGCAGAUUGGACCUAGAUGAUUUUGUGGGGGGUAUAGAACUCGUGAUAGAAGAACAACCACUCUUUUGCUAGAAGAAAUCAAUAGAAUUAUGUGUAUAAAUUCUCUUCUUAAUUGUGUUAAAGUGUGCGAAAUUAAAUAUACAUUUAUAAUAGUUAAUAUUUAACCUUGUAGACUACGUAAUUUUCUAGUGAAGGGCGUGCACCGAACCAUCCUUCACCUAAGGCGGCUCGGCCCAUGCGUAUGAGUCAAUCCAACCAAAGUGUAGUGGUCGUUCCCGUGAGACGUGUGGGGAUCAAAAGUUCAAAGAUCAUUCAUUUCUAAAGUCAUUUGGUGAAAUAUUCUAUGAAUACACACAUAAAAUGUUUUUAUUUGCAAAAACAUGGGUGAAUUAAAUUUAAUAUACAUUCAUAAUACAUGUUAAACAUUUACACACCAUAUAAUUUUCUAUCGAAAGACUUACACCGGACUACCCUUCACCUAAGGUGGCUCGGCCCAUGCAUAUGAGUCAAUCCAACCAAAGUGUAGUGGUUGUUCCAAUGAGACAUGUGGGAUCAAAAGUUCAAGAUCAUUCAUUUCUAAAGCCAUUUGGUGUAAUUUUCCAUGAAUAUACACACAUAAAAGCAAAAAACGGGUGCAUUAUAGUCUAGUUAUAAUAUUAUAAGAUCCAAUAUUGAGCUCAUGUGGAGAUCUUUAGCGUAACUAGUAAAGUUAUUGUCAUGCGACCAGAAAUCUCUAUUCAAGCCGUGAAAUUAGACUCUCAUAGAAAUGUACUUAGAAUAAGGUUGCAUACAAUAGACUCGAUCUUAUAGUCCAGCCCUUCCUCGAACCCCAUGCAUAGCAGGAGCUUUAGUGUACUGACCGUCUUAAAUUGAAAUUGAAUUUGUUGAAUAAACCUCUUAUACUCUACUCUAGCAGGUCUCUCUAUAUAGCGUAUCAGAAUCACUUCCUCAUACACAACAACAAAAAAAGAAGCUAAGCACAAAAUGCAUCUAAGAAACAUUUCUGUUUUUUCCAUCUCUUUCUUCCUUUUUUUCUUGCUUUUGGCUUCACAAACCAAAGCAAACAACAACUCAAAUCUUAUUGAAAAAGCAUGCACAAUUUAUAAUAAACCAAAUUGGGACUUUGAUUUCUGCAUAAAACUAUUAAACUCUGAUCCAAAAAUCUCAUCAGCACAAACGCCAUUUGAUUUAGCUAUAGCUAUUAUUCAAGCAGGAAAUUCCCAUGCAUCACAAACUCAAGACUACAUAAAUAAAAAGCAUAGUCGUGAAAGUGGCACUAGUCCACUUGUUUCUUCAGCAUUGAGUGUGUGUAGCAAAUGGUAUGGUUCAUUUUUCAUAUGCCAAAAACGUUUAGAUAUUUUUAUUUCGAUUUGAGUAAAGCAUCUGGUAUUCUCUGAACUAUGACCAAAUUUGCUACGAUACAUUCCAAUAUUACAGGGGUCCUAUUACCCUAUGAACUCAAUUCUAGUAUAUUUUUGUCACCCUUUUCAGCUGAUGUGAAACAUUUUGGCACCUUUGACGUGGUUUCCAUUUUUAUUUUAUAAAGGUGUCAUGUCAGCAUAAAAGGGUAACAAAAAUACGCUAAAAUUGAGUUCAGGAGGGUAAUAGGACCCAUGUGAAGUUGGAGUGUGUCGUAGCAACUUUGGGCAUAGUUCGAGAGGUACUGGAUGCUUAUCUUUUUCGAGUUUUUUGUGCGUGUGAUGAGAUUAUUCAUCGGCGGAGCUAGUAACAUGGGACUUUUUCUUUAGUAUAACACAUGGUUUGAGUUGAAGCUACUGAGUUCUCAGCCCACGACUUAGCUUCUUGCAUAAACGUAUGUUGAUUUGUGUGACAAUCUCAAGCACCCCACGCACCUUUUUUUCUUUCAUAAGCCAAACUUCUUGCUUGUUCUAACACCAUUUUGAAUUAUGUGGUCGUCUCAUUUUUAACAGGACCAGUAGCACUUUUAGUCCCUCAAUUAUUGAUAAAUUAUGAUUUUAGUCACUAGCAAAUCUAACGAAGCCCAUUAAAUCUUCAAUUAAUUGAAUUGUGCACCUUCAUCCCUUAAUUGCAAGUAUAUUCACAAAUUUAUCAUAAUUAAUAAGUGUGUCGUCAUUUAAUUAUUCAUGUAUUAUGCUAAGUUUGUGUUGUUACUUCAUAUGUGAUGGUAAUAUAAUUCGAUAGCUAGUCCACUAUGACAUAUUCUACAUGAAAGGGACCAAAAACCCUUAUUUUAAAUUAAUAGAAGGUGAAAUAUGUUGAUGCAUUUAUUCGAAGGACUAAAAGAAGAAUUUAUCAAUCAUUUAGUGACGAAAGUUGUUAUUAUCUAUCUUUCUAAUAGCAUAACUUUUAACUAAUGAAAUUUAAAUAUAUAAUCUUAAACUUUUUAUGAGAUCAUUAUCAAAUACGUGAACAUGUUUUUAGAACUUUUUAUAGUUGCCAUAAGAUUUGAACUAAAGAAUCUCUUGCUUAUUCUAAUAUCAUAUUGAAUUGAUUGACUUUGACAUUCAUCUCAUUUGAAAAUUCAAUUACUAUCAGAAAGAACAUGCACCAACUACUACUUAAUUAUAUUAUACAAGGGCAGACCUACAAGGAUGUCAGGGGUUCGGGUUCAUAAAUUAUAUUGUAUGUAUAUGUAUAGAAUAGAUUUUAUACUAACUUUGUUCACUUGAACCAACGAUGAAUCAUAUAGUCCAGUGGUAUUAGGCUGCACCAUUUGGGCUGCUAGCUAACCCUCACGUUAUAGGUUCGAUUCUUGCUAGGCAUGUAGGCUUACUUAGUAUUCUUUUAAAAUUUUAUCAUCUGCUGGUUAUGUACAACUACAACUACUACUUUAAAAAAACAUUUUAAUUAUAAUUUUUUUUCAAAUCGCCUGAAUGAAAAUCCUGGAUCCGAUACUGAUAUUAUGUCUCAACGACAGGUAUGGUGGUGUUGUUGGAGCAUUUGUGACUGCAUUAGAUGAUGUUCAAGAGAAGAAGUUUCAAUCAGCUAGUGAUCAUGUUGAAUCAGCUAAUUAUUAUGCUAUGAAUUGUGAAGAGGCAUUUGCUUCAAGAAAUGUUAAAGAUGAUGGAAUUUCAAAGGGUGAUAAUCUUGUUAUGUAUUUCAGUUUAUCUGCUGGAGUUAUUAUCAAUGUUCUUGGAGGAAAUUAAACAACUAAUUAUACCACUUUUUGAUCUUUUGGUUUGUUAACUCCUUUGGUAUUGUAUGGGGCAAUAAAUAUAAUCUAUUUUAGCUUAUUUAAGUGAAUACAAUCAAAAUCUCUAUGUGUGAUGUCAAAACUAGUUUAAUUUGAUUUUAGAGAUAAUGCAUCAAAAUUCUUUGUCUCCCCAAUUUACUUUAGCACUUAAACUAAGUUUCUAUUUAUUUACCCCUUUAACAUCUUUAAACUGAAUUAAUUUCCCCUCUUAAUAUCUAACACCACUCUCACGAGGAAGAGUGCAUCACACUGGUUGCCACACCAGCGCCACAUCACAGCCACAUUAUAGCCACGUAAAUAAAAUAUUUUUUUAAUAUUUAUAUAUAUACAUAUUUUAAAAUAUAUAAAAUAUUUUAAAUUAAAAAAAUACCCCACCCCCAAUUUUUCAUCUUUUUCAUAACCACCCCCCUCCCCCCGUUCACCCCACACAACAACAUAUGCACACACACAUCAAAUUUUUCGGCGAAUUUUCGCCGGAAAACGCCAUUAUCGUCCACCAUCGAAAAACAAAAUACCAAUUUUAUUUUAUCAAAUUAUCCUUAAAAAAAAAAAAUCAAAUAUGACUAUCAAUGGGGUUUUUUAUACACGUGUGUUGAAUCUACAACAAUUACAAAUCAAGAAAUCAACGAUUACUUUAGAUCUUAAGAAAUUUUAUUGUAGAUUCAACAACAAAUUAAGAAAUCUCAUUUUUUUGUUGUCAAAUUCAAGAAAUGAGUGGUGGCACGCAUUUUUUUGAAAUGUCACGUUAGCAUUAGGGGUUAAUUUAAUUCACCCUAAAGAUGUUAAGGGAGUAAAUAAAUGCGUGUUAAGUUUAAGUGGUAAAGUAAAUUGGAGUUACAAGUUUAUGUGGAUUUUGACGUAUUAUCUCUUGAUUUUAUUGUUUUAUAUAUAUUGUAGUGAUGACGAUGUUACACAAGCUGAAGGAAGUCAGAGAGCAAUGAUAGGUUUGUCUUUGUGCGAUUAUAUAAUUUUGGUUCAAGUCGUCAAGAAUAGCCACUAACUCUUACUCUAGAGUAGAUUGUCUUCGGCCAAUAGAUAAUACUAUAAGAUUAUCCUGCUCUAUUCAAGUAAACAAUCAAAAACUAUAUGUUUCAAAGCACUAGUUUGAUUUGAUUUUGUUGUUCUAUUUAUUAUGUUUUUUUCUUGAUUUUUCAUUUGAUGUUUCGUAUUCAUAUUGAUAUCCAAUUUAUGCUGAAAAAUUCCACAUCCAUACAUAUUUAUUUAUUUUUGCGUGAAAAAAUAAAUAUAAAUAGGAGUAGAAAUAUAUUUCAAACUUGACAUCUAGCUCAAUUCUAUAGGAUAUUAAUUACUCAUAAAAAUUAUAGAUUGUUUUUCACUGUAUUAAUGCAUGUAUAAAUAUGUACUCCUUCCAUUCCAAAAUACUAAUUGAAUUAUCGGGAUAUGACACAUUCUUUAAGAAAAAUCUUUUACGACAUAAAUUAUAUGUUACUUUCCACUAUUACCCUUUAAAUUAUUCUUAAAUUACUCUCCUAUAAAAUGUGAAGUACUUAAGAACCUCAAUAAAUGAUAGGUAAAAUUGAAAUAAAUUUUCAACAUAUCUCUUAAAGAAUGAACAAUUUAUUUAUUUUAAACAUUAAAAAUUAGCUCAAUAAUUCAUUUAUUUUGAAACGGAGGAAGUAUGUACUAGUCUAACAAACCCUAAUUUUCAAUACCCAAACCAGAUUUUUUUAAGGGUUGUAUUCCCCAGAAACUUCUAGUUAUUCUCCAGUAUUAAAGGUUCUAGUGACAUUGCUGCUAUUGCUGGAAGUCCAGUUGCAUUUUGGCUGGGAGUUCUCUGUCAGCUAGUGGGAGUUACACUCAAGUACCAUGUAAUCAUUGUUAGUCAAAUUACAAGGACAACACUUACGGUCGUUUGGUAGAAUGUAUAAGACUAAUGCCGAAUAUGGUGUAUUAGUAAUGCAAGUAUUAGUAAUGUUGGUAUUAAUUAUGCAAACGUUAUUUCUUAUACAAUGUUUGAUUUGAUGUAUUAAAAAUAAUAUAUAUUUAUAUAAUUUUUAUAAAAAUAUUUUUUUUUUACUAAAAUGCCCUUCUUUCUAUUAAAACCCCAACUUCAAUUCUUCAUCACGAUCCUCCAAAGCUUCUCGUUUUUCCUCAAAAAAAUUUCAAGUAUAAACAAUUUCCAGAACUUCAUCAAAAGUAGAUAUUCAGAAUUCUUCAAUAAAUGCGAUAAUUUGCUCUUCCAUCGAAAGUAAUAAAGGUAAGUUGAAAGAAAAGGAAAAUUUUGAUGUUAAUUAGUGAAGUUUAAGAAGUGAUAUUGUUGAAGAUCUUUGAUGGAACAAAAUAAUAGAACGAAAGAGUAAAGCACUACUGAUGGAAAAAGCAACUAUUGUUUGAUUAAUUGGACGGAAGAAGGAGAACUUGAGAAAAUUAUUGUUGCUUUUCCAUGGCAAACUGCAGAAAAGAGAAACAGGGACAAUGAUUUGAGGGUAAUUUUGUAAUUUAUUAAGUUAAUGUGUACAACUAAUGCAAGUAUUAGUUAUGCAUAGUCUAAAAAAAGAUAUCAAACAUGGUACUACUAAUGCACAAACCAUAAUGUAUGUAUUAUAUUUUUAAUACACUCUACCAAACGAUCCCUUAAGCUCUUGAAUUAUCCAAUGAGGAUGAGAAAUUUAAACUUAAGCUAUUGAAUUAUCGAAUGGGAAUGAGAAAUUUAAUCAACCUAUAAAAAGAAGAUGAGAGGAAUCGACAAUGUCUUCACCUUUUGCAUAAUCCUUUUUAACUUAACCUAUGGGUGUCAAACGGGUCGGGCCGGGCCAACCCGGAACCGGCCCUUCUAUUUUAACCGGGUUGAGGGUCGGUUUUGGCGCUAACUGGGCCGGGUCAAACAGUAAAAAAAUUAAAACCCACCCUAAACCGGCCCACUUAAUCCAACCCGGUCAAACCCACCAAAAUCCGAUCAAACCCGAUUAAAAAAUCGGUCAAACCCUGUCAAAAAUAUAAAAAAAAAAAUUCCUUUCAAUAUACAUUACAUAUACCCAACUAUAUACAUUAUAAAUACGUUAAAUAAUAUAUAUACACUAUAUAUAUAGUAUAUACUACAUUAGAAUUUAAAAAAUAUAUACACAUAUACACAAUUAGUCAAUUACUCAUAUAUACUCACCAUUCAAUGUACUUAUACUACUACUUAUAAAAUAUACUACAAUAUAAUACAUUACAAUAUAUAUAGAUAUACUUAUAUAUUAAUUCAUAAAACAAAUACACAUGUGUACGUUAAAUAUACAAGAUAUAUACACGUGUAUAUGCACCAUACAAUGUAUAUAUACAACUACUUAUAAAAUAUACUACAAUAUAUAUACAUUACAAUAUAUAUAGAUAUAGUUAUAUACUAAUUUAUAAAGCAUAUACAUAUGCAUACGUUAAAUAUACACUUCUAUAGAAGAUAUAUACAUGUGUAUAUAUAAAACAUAUACACAUGUAUACGUUAAAUAUACACUUCUAUAGAAGAUAUAUACACGUGUAUACGCACCAUUCAAUGUAUAUAUACUACUACUUAUAAAAUAUACUACAUUAUAUAUACAUUACAAUAUAUAUAGAUAUACUUAUAUACUAAUUUAUAAAACAUAUACACAUGUAUACGUUAAAUAUACACUUCUAUAGAAGAUAUAUACACGUGUAUACGCACCAUUCAAUGUAUAUAUACUACUACUUAUAAAAUAUACUACAUUAUAUAUACAUUACAAUAUAUAUAGAUAUACUUAUAUACUAAUUUAUAAAACAUAUACACAUGUAUACGUUAAAUAUACACUUCUAUAGAAGAUAUAUACACGUGUAUACGCACCAUUCAAUGUAUAUAUACUACUACUUAUAAAAUAUACUACAUUAUAUAUACAUUACAAUAUAUAUAGAUAUACUUAUAUACUAAUUUAUAAAACAUAUACACAUGUAUACGUUAAAUAUACACUUCUAUAGAAGAUAUAUGCACAAAUAUACAAAACAUAUGCUACUUAAUAUAAUAAAUUAAUAAUAUUUGGUAGUAAAUUAAUAAUAUAUUAGAAGUAAGUUUUUAAUUUAAAGUAGAAAACUAGAAAUUCAAUUUAAAAUUUUAAAUCGUUAAAUGAAAAAAUAUAAAAAGCAAGGACUAAGGAGUGAAUGAAUUUGGGAAAUUUUAUUGAUUGCAAAAUGAUCAAAAAUUUAUAAUUUACAUGAAUGAAAAAUCUACAAAUUAUGCAUCAUUUUUUCCAACUCAUUCAUGUUAAUAUUAACAGGAACUUGCAUAAGAUAGUCGAAGUCAACGGGGGCCAAACCAUGCAUUGGACUUGAUUCUGCUGAGAUCUCCCAUGAAGCUAUAAUUUCUUCAAGUUUCAGCUCGUCUCUCGGCUCUGGUUCCAUUCCUUGGUUUCUUCUUUCCGCUGUAAUCCAAUCUCUGAGGCAAACUAGAACAUUCAUUGCAUUGCUUCCCAAUGAGUGUCAGUUGUCUCCAAGCUGUUGUCGUCUCUGACUAAAGACGCUCUUUGAUGCAACGAUUGACAUUGGAACAUUCAAGAUAUCUUUAGCUAAUCUUGAAAGCACAAGAUAUUGUGUUUCACUACUCUUCCACCAAUCCAACGUGUUGAUCAGUCGCCUGCGAUUCUCUAGUGCCGUCCGAAGAUAAUAUUUCAGCUCUUCCCAAUAAGUUGAUGUGUAAGUUCUCUCAUCAACACUGUUCCAACAAUUUAAAUCAUAAAACGAAUCAGAAAAACCACUAUGUGCCGGCCUUUUAGAAGAUAAUGGCUCCUCGGAAGGAUGAGGAGCGACAGUUGGAGUGAUAUUUGUGGGUACGACUAAAUCAAAUAAAUCAGCAUAGUGAUUAUAUAUUUUUUCUAUGUAAUCAUUUGCAUCAGCCGUAGCCAUCCACAAAUCAGGUUGUACUUGUUCAGAAUCAUGGUUAGUAUUUAUUUCUGAGUUAGUAUAAAUAAGAGUACUAAAGUGGCAUAUAUUAUUAUAUUUAAUGCACGGAUUUAGCAUAGCACCAACCAAGUAAAUAGGGGGAAUCGGGAAAAAAUAUUUUUUAAAUUUCGUAAACAUGGCGCCAACAGCUUCUUUAUAACCUUCUUUAUUUUUAUAUUCUUUGAGCAAACCAGAAAUAUCGGCUAUAUAUGCCAAAAUAUUACAAACAGUAGGAUAAUAAGCACCGAAAAAUUCAACCGUAGCUACAUAAAAUUUUUCUAAAAACUUAACAAGAUCAUUAAUUACAACCCAAUCAGAAUUAUGUAGCAUGCAAUCAGCAGAAUCAGCAAAUGAACCGCAAUGUUGGUUAAAAGCUAGUGUAAUAGGAAUUCUAUAUUUAUAACAAGUUUUUAAAAAUUCAUACGUAGAAUUCCAUCUAGUAUCAAUUUCCUCAGGCAUCAAAAUCGGUGUAAGUCCAUUUUCUUGACAUUUAACUUUAAAUUCUCUAAUUCUCGAUCUACGAUUAUUUCCUUGAAUAAAACCAACGACAAGACGAAUUUUUUUAAUAUAAAGCUCAAAAAACUCAAGACCAUCUUUUACAAUUAAAUUAUAUAUAUGACAUGCACACNNNNNNNNNNNNNNNNNNNNNNNNNNNNNNNNNNNNNNNNNNNNNNNNNNNNNNNNNNNNNNNNNNNNNNNNNNNNNNNNNNNNNNNNNNNNNNNNNNNNNNNNNNNNNNNNNNNNNNNNNNNNNNNNNNNNNNNNNNNNNNNNNNNNNNNNNNNNNNNNNNNNNNNNNNNNNNNNNNNNNNNNNNNNNNNNNNNNNNNNNNNNNNNNNNNNNNNNNNNNNNNNNNNNNNNNNNNNNNNNNNNNNNNNNNNNNNNNNNNNNNNNNNNNNNNNNNNNNNNNNNNNNNNNNNNNNNNNNNNNNNNNNNNNNNNNNNNNNNNNNNNNNNNNNNNNNNNNNNNNNNNNNNNNNNNNNNNNNNNNNNNNNNNNNNNNNNNNNNNNNNNNNNNNNNNNNNNNNNNNNNNNNNNNNNNNNNNNNNNNNNNNNNNNNNNNNNNNNNNNNNNNNNNNNNNNNNNNNNNNNNNNNNNNNNNNNNNNNNNNNNNNNNNNNNNNNNNNNNNNNNNNNNNNNNNNNNNNNNNNNNNNAAAUAAUCAUUUUUAUUUACAGCAUGACCAAGAUCAGAAGUUAGGGACAAUCUACAUUGAAUAUUUUUUUAACAAUGUUGAUAAAUAAAACAAUAUUGUGAAUGGAGUCUAAAAAUAUCAGACCGAUAAGUAGUUCUAGGAAUACCGUUAAACAUAGGAUUAUAAAUUGCUUGUAUAUAACGAAUAAAGACAUCAGAAGAAGGAAAACUAAAAGGCAAACAACCAACAGCUACCAUUUUAGUUAUUUCUUUCCGGUUUCUCAAUUUAUUAUACUUCUUUGCUACGUGACCGGUUGCUGGGUCCAUUCUAGUUUGCGUUGGCCCACCAACAUCCCCACCACCUUGUGCAAUAUUUAACUCUCUUUUGUGAUCUUCAGCUAUAUGUCUCAUUAACGUACCCGUACCCUAUUGCUUGUCUCUACUUCUAUGCUUAUAUAUUUGUUGACAAAUAUUACAUUGCACCUCAAUAUCUGAUAUACGUUCACAAAAUUUUCAUGCAACACUAGUUCUCUUACGAGGUCUUGGGGCACUGGGAGGACGGGGAGGGAGAUUAACAGAUUCAGAUCUAACGUUAGCAUCUCCUACUGCGGGUGUCUCAGCAAUAUUUUCAUUAUCUUCGUCUAAAUUAACCGCAUCUACUUCAUUUUCUUCUUCUAUACCGUAAUUUUCCCGAGCUUCUACAUAAUCCAUAUCGUGAGCACCUACACCUAUUUCUUCCUCAAAAGGUGUACCAAGAGGUACCGGAGGCGAAGNNNNNNNNNNNNNNNNNNNNNNNNNNNNNNNNNNNNNNNNNNNNNNNNNNNNNNNNNNNNNNNNNNNNNNNNNNNNNNNNNNNNNNNNNNNNNNNNNNNNNNNNNNNNNNNNNNNNNNNNNNNNNNNNNNNNNNNNNNNNNNNNNNNNNNNNNNNNNNNNNNNNNNNNNNNNNNNNNNNNNNNNNNNNNNNNNNNNNNNNNNNNNNNNNNNNNNNNNNNNNNNNNNNNNNNNNNNNNNNNNNNNNNNNNNNNNNNNNNNNNNNNNNNNNNNNNNNNNNNNNNNNNNNNNNNNNNNNNNNNNNNNNNNNNNNNNNNNNNNNNNNNNNNNNNNNNNNNNNNNNNNNNNNNNNNNNNNNNNNNNNNNNNNNNNNNNNNNNNNNNNNNNNNNNNNNNNNNNNNNNNNNNNNNNNNNNNNNNNNNNNNNNNNNNNNNNNNNNNNNNNNNNNNNNNNNNNNNNNNNNNNNNNNNNNNNNNAAACUAGCCGUUUGGACCCAAAAACGGCUAUAUAGCCGUUGGGCCAACGGCUAGUUUGGCCCAACAUCUUUUUUUUUAUUUUUUUAUUUUUAAAAUAAAGGUAUCCGGGCCGGACCGGUUAACCGACGGGCCUAGACCGGGCUUGGUCCGGGCCGGAUUAGCCGGGCCCAUUUUAAAAAAAUAACCAGUCCGGGACCCAGAACCCUAAAGCCCUAGGGCUUACCGGGUCGGGUUAGUUACAAGGGCCGGGUCCCGGCCCACUUGACACCCUUAGCUUAACCCUAAUCGGCCCAAAAGAGUUUAUCUUGAUUCACAACAACUAGCUAUCAACCUCGAUAAAUAAUUAGGAUAAAUAAUAUAAAUCCCAACAAUUUGGAGCUCUUGUAUAAUUAUUGAGAAUCUCGAUUUUGUAUCUGUCGAGAUACAUAAUUAGCUUCUGAUACAUCCAAUGACUAUACAUUUUUUCUUAGUAAAGAUACAUAAUUAGCUCCCAAUAUAUUUUUUUCUUGAUUUUGUGUUUUUUGAGAUUCAUAAUACAUCAAACGAAAAUACAUUUUUUUCUUUCUAAAAAUACAUAAUUAGCUCUCGAUGCAUUUUUUUCAAUUUUGGAUCUGUUGAGAUACAUAAUACACUCAACAAAGAUGUAUUUUUUUUCUUAGUAAAAAUACAUAAUUAGCUCUCAAUAUAUAUUUUUUGAUUUUGGAUCUGUUGAGAUAUAUAAUUAGCUCCCAAUACAUUCAACAAAGAUACAUAAUUAAUUGAGAUUUUUUUAAGUACUUUAUAAAUAUUGAAAUUUAUGUAAAUAUGAUAAAUUAAGGUGCAUGUUUAUGUUAUUUUUCAAAUAAAAUUAUUUAUACUAAAGGCCAAAUAUGUAAUUUUCUCAUUUAGAAAUUGACAUGAAAAUUUUGGAUGAAGUGUUACCAUGAUAGUAACACUGCAACCUCAUCGCAGGCAAUAACUUUUACUCCACUCCACCUCAGCUGGGGGCCUACACGAUAUAUAUAAACAACUUAGCUUUAUCCAUUUUCAUUUGAGACGGAACUUCCAAAACUGAAAAGAGAUAAAUGGCAGCUAACAAAGCUCUCAGUCUUCCGUUAAUUCUAACGGCGUUAACUCUACACUUGACGAUCAUCGCCGGCGAGUAUUUCACGCCGUUCAAUGUCACUUACGAUCACCGUGCACUUAUCAUCGGCGGUAAACGCCGUAUUCUUAUCUCCGCCGGAAUUCACUAUCCUCGCGCCACUCCUGAGGUUCGUUUAACUGCAUGUUCUUUUUCGAUCAUAUUAAUAUGAGAGUAAUUGCAAUUUAUUGUUUUUUUUUUCGUAGAAUUUUUAAUAUUUAAAUUUAGAAUUUAAAAUAUUAAAUUAAUCUAAUUUAAUUGAGCUAAGCCUCAAAGAUUGUCUCUCGUAAAGAAGUGAAAUGUGACUAAGUAAAAGCGAAUAGAGGUAGUAUAUAACUAGACGUAUCAAAUUUUUUCAUAAUGGCUAGUUCCGUACUAGUCUGUCGUUCACUUUUAGUUGUCAUGUUUUGCUUCUCGACAAUCAAACUGCACAGACUUUAACCAAUAUUUUAAGACGUAUGAGAAGGAUUUCCAACUUAUAAUGUUUUUUUUUUUAUAGUGUUUGAAUAUUUAAAUUUGAAUUAUUCUAAUUUGAUUGAGCUGAGCCUCAGAGAUUAGUUAAAUGACUCUCAUAAAGAAGUGAAAUGUGACUAAAAGUAAAAGUCAAAGGAGGUAGUAUAUAAUUGGACGUACCAAAAUUAUUCAUAAUAUCUUGUGGUCUUCAACAUAAUAUCUAGUUCCAUACUACUCUCUCAUUCACUUUUAGUUGUAUGUUUUGUGUCUCGGUAGUCAAACUGCAAAGACUUUGACCAAUAUUUUAAGACGUAUGAGAAGGAUUUUCAGCUUAUAAUGUUCUUUGUAUAGUUUUCGAAUAUUUAAAGUUUUAAAUUUUAAAUAUCGAAUUAGUCUAAUUCAAUUCAGUUUUAAAAAUUAAUUAAAUUGAUUUUCGUAACGGGAAAUGUGACAUCUAAAAGUGAACGGAGGGAGUAUAUAUUAGAUGUUUAUUUAUAAUAUUUUGGUAGUCUUCAACGUAGUACCUAAUUCACUACCUUCGCUCUUUUACUGAGGUUAACAAUGGAGCUUUUAGUUGUGCUAAUUGUAGUCCAUGUGAUCGUAAAAACAUGUUUGUUUCAUUGUUUAAUGACUGAAUUUUGUUAAGAGUAUUUUUUUUUCCUGUUAGUUUACUGAUGUUUGAUCGUGCACAAAUUUUAAGAAAAGACAGAAUUUUGAUGCAUAAGUUCACUUUUAUUAGUCACAUUUCGCUCGAGAGUUAAACUGUAUGAACUUUGAUUAAUAUUUUAUGAUGUGUUUUUUCAUCGUAUUAAUAUGCAAAGGAAAAACUUUUGGAGGGAGUAUAUUGUAUCAGAGUGACGAAUUAGAAUUCCACGGAAUUGGGAAAAAGAUCAAGUAAAGAGUAGCUGUUAUGUGGAUUGUUCUGUAUUAAUGGUGAAUUAAGUAGGAAAAAGAAGAUAAAGAACAUAUUUUUAAUCACAAUAUUUUUCUGUGAAGCAGUUUCAAGGGAAACAUUAAUUUUGCAAUGUCUUAAUUCAGAAAAUUGUUGCUAUUCGAUCAGUGAAAUUGCAUAUGAAUUUCAGGUCCUUAAAUCAUUUUAAAAUCUCGAUGAACAUCAGAUAAUCAAAUAAAAGUAUGAUCUUUUUAUAGUUACUGCAUUUGUUGGAGCAGUUCUUUCAUGUAAUUUAUAGAACUUAACUCUCAGUUUGAUGUUCCAUAAACGCCUGAAAUGAAAAUAUGAAUGUCGAUGUUAUCUAUGUUAUUGGAACUUAUUUAUCUUGUUUUGCACAUGUUCUAUUGAAGAACAUAGGUAUUCAUUGCCUGAGUUUAUAUAAGCCUUGUACAUGUUACAUGUUCCAGAUGUGGCCUAAAUUAAUAGCUAGGAGCAAAGAAGGCGGUGCAGAUGUCAUUGAGACUUAUACAUUUUGGAAUGGUCAUGAGCCAACGAGAGGACAGGUAUUCAUUUCCUGAAACCUGCAUUUUAGUGUUUGUUGCACUGUAUGUAAUGCGAUCUAUAUUCUUGUAGAGUCUAUAGUAUUAAAUGAGCGAGUCUUGUUCUUCAAUCAACUCUUUUUAUGUUACCUACUAUUUAAUAUCCUUAAUCUUUAUCUGUAUAAGUUCUUGAUAUUUCUGAACUGCUUCUCUCUUUUGAUGCUACUCGUUUCAGUAUAACUUUGAAGGAAGAUAUGAUAUUGUCAAGUUCGCAAAGCUAGUUGGAUCUCAUGGAUUGUAUCUCUUUAUUCGAAUAGGCCCUUAUGCUUGUGCAGAAUGGAACUUCGGGUUAUGUUCUGUUUCCAAUAUUUCUCUGCUCAAUUUCGACUUUAUCAAUAGUGCAUGUUAGAUGUGUUGUCAUGCUUCAAGAUCUAGUCUAUAAUUUUCAAUAAAGCAAAAGGUUAACUACUUUUGGUAAAUGCAUUACUUUCACUACACAAGUUGGUAAGCAACAGAAAGGGUGCUAUCUAGAAAUGAGAAUCUGUAGUAAUUAAACAAGUUAGCUCUGAGAAAUAUUGAGAUCCCUAUCUUUUUUAAAAUAAAGAAAAAAGAAAAAAAAAUAGAGAUGUCCACAACAGAAUAUAGCAGAAGGGAGUUAACACAUUCGUGUCACCACUGAGAGCUUCUCUAUUGAUCUCACUAGGUGAUUUACUGUCUGAAUUGCAGGGGAUUCCCCGUAUGGCUUCGUGAUAUACCUGGAAUAGAAUUUCGAACGGAUAAUGCUCCAUUCAAGGUAUUAUAGUAGGGAACAGAAAUCUUUCUGUAGAAUUGUAUGAGGCCUUUUUGAGGCGCCCUUGGAGUGUGGCGUUUCUAAAUUUUGUAAAUAACUUGUUUGUAUGGCCAUGUCUGUGUUUUGUUGGACAUGAUUUGUGGCCUCCAUGUCUGCUGCACAUAUUAUAGGUUCCAUAUUGAUUCAACGAGACUAAACCAAUUACAUGUCAUUUUGUUAAUUCUAAAUACAGUUAACCUUAUAGAGAUAUUAGAUACAUUGUUAGGCAUAACACGCCUAGUGGUCAAUGAAGUGGGAGGAGAACCGUCCAACAGCAUGUUUCUAUUAAGUGCUUUGUCAGCAUCAUGUUACCGUCCAACAAUAAGCCUCACCUUUAGUUCAUUGUGUUCACACAUGCAUUUCACGCUUAGUCUGUUCCUCAUCCCCGCAAGAUUUUUCUUUCAGGAGAAAAUAGCUAGGAAACUUUUGUCAACCUGGUUCUAUAUUGGGGAAAGUACAUUCUUGUAGUUGUUCUUUGGAUCUCAAAAUAAAGCAAUUACUCCAUGCAUUUUACUGCAGGCAUUCCUUGUUUACAGUUAAUUUUUUUCAUUCCUUGUUUACAGUUAGAUUUUGUAUCUGUUUAUUAAUAUUCAUUUGGAAUUGUGGUAUUGUUGGUUGACUGAUUGAAUCAGCAAAAAAUAAGUUGGCUUUCCAACACUUGGUUAAAUUGCAGUUGUGGUAGUUUAAGAGCAUUAUUUGGCUGCUGGAAGAUUGCAAUUUGACAAAUUGAAACACUUUUCCCAGGAGGAGAUGGAGCGCUAUGUUAAAAAGAUAGUUGAUCUUAUGAUAGCUGAGUCACUCUUCUCGUGGCAAGGUGGUCCUAUCAUUUUGUUGCAGGUUAUGAAGUUUCUUAUCCUGAAUCACUAAUUAGAAUAUGAGUAUCUGUAAGUCUGAUAACUGCACUUUAUUAGUUAGACAAAUAGGAAUUAUUCUUCCAAGACUGCUUGAAAUCAUUGACAUGAAUAAUGCACCUUACAACUGGGCCUGAGUAAUUUCCUCUUGAAAUAAUCAAUGGAAGCUCAGUUUUAAAGACAUUUGCAGAUACUGAUAAACUUAGCACUUUCAUCUAUUUCCUUCCCCUUCCCUCUGCACAUCCUUUCAUGCUUCAGCAUUUAGAUUUAAACUAGAGUCGUGUCUUUGUCUGAUGAAUUAAACUUUUGUCAGAUUGAAAAUGAAUAUGGAAAUAUUGAAAGCUCAUUUGGUCCCAAGGGGAAGAUAUAUAUGAAAUGGGCUGCUGAAAUGGCUGUAGGUCUUGGUGCUGGUGUUCCAUGGGUCAUGUGCAGGCAAACUGAUGCUCCAGAAUACAUCGUAAUGCACUUGAUUCCCUGAUCUUCUCUAAUACAUCUAAUUGUAGCUAGUUGGUCUAUUUAGUCUCUUAUACAUCAUCAACAACAACAAACCUAGUAUAAUUCCACAGGUGUGGGGUCUAGGGAGGGUAGGAUGUACACAAACCCCUACCCCCUACCUUUGUGGGAUAGAGAUGUUGUUUCCGGUAGACCCUAGGUUAUUUAGUCUCUAAUAGUUUUGAUCAAAAGGAUUCAUUAGACAAUAACUUUAUGCAAUUUAUUUCAUUGAACGAGUUGCAUAAAACUAGUGCUUAGAAGUUUUAUGCAAAUAUGCACACAUAUUUCUUGAAUUUCUUUUGUAAAAGUUAAGCUGGUGUCGAAACUGAUCAAUUUGUAUCUCACUUUAAAAUUUUUCAAAAAUCAACUCUUUAUCAUGUAGAAGAAAUACAGUCAAUUGACUUUUCAAGUUAACCGAACAUAUGAUUUGUGGCAAACUGAUUUGAGAUGAACAAGCCCUGGUUUCUCAAACAUUUUGGAUUAAGUUUGUUAAUUUGAAAGCAGCAGUGAGUUCUCCCUGAUCUAUUUACCUAUCCUGUUAUUAUUAGUCCUCCUUUCUAGGGCCAGGUAUUCUGCUUUUCUUUAUCUUGUUAUGUUAUAGAUUUUUCUUUUUAACAGAUAGAUACUUGCAAUGCAUACUAUUGUGAUGCCUACACGCCAAAUUCUGGGAAGAAACCAAAAAUCUGGACCGAGAAUUGGGAUGGAUGGUAUGCUAAUUGCUUCUUGUUUGUUAGAUCAUUCCUUGUCAUUCUAAUGUAUUCUGAACAAAUAUGUGCAUGGUUCCAGGAAACCUUAGGUUCUUGUUAGUUUUAUGAGUAUACGAUCUCUAAUGUGUGAGUUAACUUCUCUUUAACUCAUGAACGAAAAAGCAACAUCUCUUUGGUUGCAUCAGCAUCUAUUUUGAAAAAGUUUUUCUCGGCAGAUUCUAACCUUUGUACUUGACUUUCUAUUCUUCCGCAUAUCCUUUGUUACGAAAGCUUAGAAUAAUGUCAAUCUACAUGAGAGGCAAUUUUGUUCCUACAAGUGUUCCUUCUCACAUGUAAGGGCUUCAUUUUAUCUCUCACAUAUAUAAUAUUUAUAUUUAAGUCCUAAACUAGCGUAGAUAUACGAACAUCACUUCUUAACCAAGGAGAAUCUUAUCAAGAAAAAAAUGUUAGGAAAGCUAGAACGGGAUUUUAGAAAUUCAUACGAAAUGAAAACGUUGAGAACAAUAAAUUCAGUAAUUAUGAAGUAUCAGCAGUCGAUUUGUUAAGUUUCUAGCUAUGUGUGGAAAUCCAUUCCUCACUUCUCCCCUUCAGUAAUUGUGCCUUCACAUAUGAGGUCCAUUAUAAUUUCGGAAGGGCAAUGGUGGACGUCUUGAGAUCAGAAGAACUCUAUCUAGUUUGACUGUUUGAGUGUGUCAAAUGGUCCAGAAAAGAUAAGUUUCCUGUGGUCAGCUGCUCCUCAAUCUGUUACUCUCAUGAAAAAUGACAAUCAUAUGAGGUGGAGGAUUAGUGAGGUUAUGUAUUAGAUUAGGCUAAAGUAUGGAAAUGGAGUUCUUUGCUUGCUUAGAAUGUGCACGUUAGAUCUUGGGAAGUCUUCUUCUCAGGUUUAGGUUAGUUGAUUAUUUAUUUAAGUUAGUAUUAUUAGUUCUUCAGUGAAUGAAUAACGAUAGAUGGACAUUGCAUACUGAAACCUAACUCAAGAACUAUGAUCCAGGAAAACAUGGUAUACUUGAGCUCAUAUCCCUUCAUUAUGCUCUUUUUUAUUUUAUGCUUCCCUCUGACGUAUACCACUUAAAAAGGAAGGCAGGAACUCGUAGCUACAUUUUGGAUCACGUUGAGUCAAUAACAUAUGGAAAAAGGAAAGAAAAAACAGUCUUAUUUCUUUCCUUUGCCGCAGGUAUGCGGAUUGGGGUGAAAGACUCCCACAUAGACCUUCUGAAGAUAUUGCAUUUGCAAUUGCUCGUUUCUUUCAGCGUGGGGGCAGCUUACAGAACUAUUAUAUGGUAUUUAGAUGCAUCUGAUGUUCUUUAAAGUUUAUUUUGCAGUCUGGUACAGAUAGCACAUGUCCCUUAAUAUAUUUAACUGUCUCCUAUUCCAGCUGACCUUAUUUGUAAUUCUUUUAGAAGUUUUCCUGGAGACUGAUAGUCAGAUUACCCAGUUCCAUCUGAUCAUCUCUUUUUUUGAUUAAUAGGACUUGUUCUAUAUCCAGUAUUUGUUUGUUGAAGAGUUUAAACAGACAUUUUAUGUGUGUUUAAAUGUUGAUUAGCAGUUUAUGCGAACCAGAGAGGCUUGAAGUUACUCAUUACUACUGGGUAAAAGCUCUUAUUAGGUUUGGUUAGAUGUCAAAAAGACACUAGAAAAUGUACUUCUAGAGAAAAUUUCUAGAAAUAAAGGAGAGAAGAUUAUUUUUCUUCCACACGUUUGUUGACGGGAAAAAUUAUAGUUUAAAUAAGAAGAACCAACCUUUCAAGUCUAAUGAUAGUUCAAAUAAGAAGAAACUGUUUUCUUUCAAAUUCUCCACACUUUUGCUAGACUCAUCGUUUCUUGCCGGAAACUGUUUUACCCAGAGUAAUUCAACACAAAAAAGGGGCUGGAAACUUGGAUUCUGGUACUUUUCGUUUCCUGGCAGAAAAACAAUUUCCUUGAUGACCGUUUGAUUCAUCUUGUAAUACCAGUAUUUUGGUGGGACAAAUUUUGGCCGGACUGCUGGAGGCCCAGCUCAAAUCACUAGCUAUGAUUAUGAUGCUCCGCUUGACGAAUAUGGUAACUUUUCAGUUUUAUUUACUUUUCUGUAAGAAAAUCACUGCCAAGAUAAAAUUUGAUAGCCAGGUUUACAUUGAUAUAGCCUCUUUUUUUCAUAAGUACUCAUUAAAUGGACCGCAAUAACUACUUUGAUAAUUAUCUUACCUUAUGAAAAAGGUCUAUGUUAAGCUGUGUCACUGAUAGAAUGUUAAAAGUGUUAGUGUUAGGAUCAUCCAUAUGGUUAAAACGUUAGCAGUACCAAGUACUUGGUGGAAUUUUAACUCGUGGAGGAAAUUUUUUAAAAUUCUCAAAUACAUCACUUUUGUUUUUCAUUAAGUAAACAUAUGUAAACUUAGAUAUUUUAUCACUUUCAUUGAUAAUUUUUCUAAGUUUACAUAUGUUUACUUAAUGAAAAACAAAAGUGAUGUAUUUGAGAAUUUUAAAAAAUAAUUGUUGGUGAUAAUUACAAUAAAUUGCAAUAAAUAUUACAAUAGAUUACAACUGAAAAAUUACAAAAUGAAUAAAGAAAAAUAUAUUUCUUCUUCUAUGGCUGAGGAUCAUCCAUACGGUUAAAAUGUUAGCAGUACCAAGUCCUUUAAUAAGCUAUUGUCCCACUUAUUUCUAUACAUAAGUGUCUUAUCAUCAAACAAUCAAUAUUUUCUCUCUUUUUCUCACGGUUACUAUUUUGUAUAGGACUACUACGUCAACCUAAAUGGGGCCAUUUGAAGGAUCUGCAUGCUGCUAUAAAGCUUUGUGAACCUGCUCUGGUUGCUGCUGAUUCACCUCAGUAUAUUAAACUGGGACCAAAACAAGAGGUCAGUUAUAGGCUUGCGUAAUCCCUGGUAUUGCUGUAAGUCCACCUGUUAUUGAAUGCAGAAUAAAAGGUUAGUUGUUGAAUUUUUAUUGUGAUGGAUGCGUUUUAGCCUGACUACCUUUGCAGAGGUACUUAUUACUUUUUCUUAAUUAUUGAAGGCGCAUCAUGUUUUUACUUUGUUCAUUGACAGCAACAAAAUGCCUUGAGAAUAUCUCAUAAUUCCGAAAUUCCAUCAGUUACUAUUAUGAUGCGUCACUUAAUAAUGUCUUUGAUAGAGCAUAGUUAAUGGUAUUUUUGCUUUUUGGGAAGGUUGCAGGCAUCUGUUGCUAAUAGGACAAACAAUAUAUCACAUUCGUUUACAAAUUUUUUAAAGAAAGGGCAGCCCGGUGCACUAAAGCUACCGCUAUGUGCGGUGUCUAGGGAAGGGCCCCACCACAAGGGUGUAUCGUAUGCAACCUUAUCUUGCAUUUCUGCUAGAGGCUGUUUACACGUUUACAAAUUACUUUAUCCAAAAAGAUUGGCUCCUGCAUUUUAUUGUCCUUCUGAAGGAAAGCAGAUAAGAAUAUCACGAGCUAUUUACACCACCAUAUAUAACUGGAAAAUGGGAGGAUUAUCUCUCAUUCAAAUCAAGGAAAUUUAUCUAGUCAAUGGAUCAAUCUAGUUGAUUUAAUUUCUUAGUUGUGGAAAAAAGUCUCUUAGAGAAGUCUCAAGAAAAAGUCUGUCUUGCUCAUCAGGAAAUUAAUUACCACUGACUAAUUGCCUACCAAAAUCUAAUCAAUCUAAUUUACAGAGAUAUUCUCUUUUUCUUCUUCCAAAUGACUACUCUUUCCGCUAGGGAAAGUAAUCAAACUUUGUAUCUUUUGCUACUUGUGAUGUUUUUAGAGUGGACAGUUGGCAAUACUUGGCAAUCCUACUCGGUACUUAACAUGGAUGUGAAAGUUAAGAAAGGCACAAAAGACUUUAUCUGAAAAAUAAAGGUAAGGCAGAAAGGAAUAAAGGACGAACUGCUUUAUUUUAUGCAAGCAUGAAUCUCUGUGCUUUUAGUAUAACAUUACUCUCUUCUUCUUACCUUAAAAUUGUUAUUAUGAAUCACCAUAUUUGUGAUCCCUUCUCUACUUUACCAUUUCAUCCCUUGGUAUUUGAUGCUUGUCAUGUUAUUUCAGGCACAUGUCUAUCGUGGAGCAUCCAGCAACAAUGGCCAAGAUAUGUCCUUGAAUGAAGGCAUAUGCGCAGCAUUUAUUGCAAACAUUGAUGAACAUGAAUCAGCAACAGUGAAAUUUUACGGUCAAGAAUAUACUCUACCUCCAUGGUCUGUGAGUAUUCUGCCAGAUUGCAGAAACACCGCUUUCAACACAGCUAAGGUUUGUUGAUGUUCCCACAGUUGAAAGAGUAUAAGUUUGAAGUUCAAAAAAUGACCGUCAAUGCUUGCAUGUUUACUUGUUUCAUUAUUUUCUUUUAUUCCAAGCUUGUUUUGUUGUAUUGAUAAUGCUUUUAUAUGUGUGGCUUCCACAAACUGAGGCUGCAGUCAUUACCAACUUCUGUGUGGAUGAUGGUAGUCGGUAGAUUACAAAGAUAGUUGAUUUUCCAUUGCUGCUCAAGAUGUCUCAUAUAGCUUCUGCAAAAAUGGCUGAAUCAGUUGUUUAUGACCCUUUUGGCUAAUAGUUCAUCGGAAAUUAUGAUUCAUCACCAUAAGGCCUGGCGAGCAUUGAGAAUUUAGCUACAGUUUAGGUGUUCACUUACAUGCUCAUGUUGAUUGAAAGAGAAACAUAUCCUGAUUACUAAAGCUUAACUUUAGUUUUAGUAACCUCAUCAUCGUAUGGUUACAAGGACCCACUCGCUUUCAAGCAUAUAACCUAGUGACUUCAUCACCAGAAUGCUUCUACAACUAAGUAGUACUUUGUGAUUAAUUUUAAUAAUAUGUUAAAUUUCUUUUCUCUUCCAUUCCUUAAACAGGUGGCCACACAAACUUCAAUCAAAACAGUGGGCUCUGAUUCUGUUUCAGUUGGGAAUAAUUCUUUGAUUCCACAAUUAAUCAUUAAAAGCAAGCUCGAAAGUAUUUCACAAUCUUGGAUGACAUUGAAGGAGCCACUUGGUGUGUGGGGUGACAAUAAUUUCACUUCUAAAGGGAUACUGGAGCAUCUGAAUGUGACAAAAGACCAGUCUGAUUACCUGUGGUAUCUGACCAGGUAUUUCAAACUUAUAACUGAGGUUUGGAUCAGACUAAACAGAGAUUACUACCUUUAUUUGGAGCCACUUGAUAAUGGGAUUGUCCAAUUCCAUAUAAAGCUUUAAAACCUCACCAUUUAUACCACAUUCUCAGAUAACAUCUGUACUGGAAUUGAAGCGACUUGAAACACGUGAAGAUAAUCUUUCGACAUAAGAUGGCCAGUGGGUCACCCUCUUCAUAAAUUAAUGAGUUUGAUGUUUAUAUACUACAGAGUGUUGUAUGCGACAACAUUUAUGAUGAAAAUGGAAACACUUUACAUGGCCACUUGAUCUGCUUGUUGCUAAUACACUUUACAUGGCCACUCUAUCUGCUGGCUGCUAACUUUACAUUAGAUGUAAAACUAAAAAACCUACNNNNNNNNNNNNNNNNNNNNNNNNNNNNNNNNNNNNNNNNNNNNNNNNNNNNNNNNNNNNNNNNNNNNNNNGUUCUUUUCCAUUUAAUACCUGUACUAUGUACUUUGGCUUCUGAAUAACUGGAGAAAUGUGAUACUUAAUUGUGGUCUGAAGAUUUCAAAUUUGUAGAGCUAAAAGAAAUAUUAGAGCUUCAACUAAGACAAUAUGAACUUCUUUGAGGUUUUAGGAUAGAUGAAGCAUAAUAUUUCUUAAUGCCCAAGUUUUGUUAUCCUUGCAUUUGGUUGAGUGUGUUUGUGAGUAGUUAGGCUUUAACAAUGUCAAGCCUCUUUGGAUGAGAUCUGCAUACCUUUUGGUACUUUUGGCUUUUGAGAUUAAUUGUUUGGUGAGUGACAAUAUUAAUGAUUGUCCACACAAUAACGUGAUUCUCUCAAUGUUCUGUUGUCUCCCGAUUAUCUUUGACUCAUGUUUUCUUUUCCUUUAACAAGUGAAUAGCCACACAAUACAUAUACCAAAAACACUGGAAGAUUUGGUUGCAAAUAGAUUCAUAACAUUUAUCAUUGGGUGCAAACUGAAACAGUGAUGAGUUACACUGUUAUCUCUGGUGAAUGCAGGAUAUAUAUAUCUGAUGAUGACAUCUCAUUUUGGAAGGAAAAUGAUGUUAGUCCAACGAUUGAUAUUGAUAGCAUGCGUGAUUUUGUUCGCAUUUUUGUUAAUGGGCAGCUUGCAGGUAUUUGGUUAGGUUGCUUUUGUGCUGUAUUAUUAUGCAUCUCUUUUCUCUGUGUUAUAGCGUUACCCAAUUCUCCUGGCAUUGUCAAAGUGUACUUAAGACAUUGAACUUUUCUUGUUCUGCAUGAACAUGUUUUUCAAAUUUAUGUUAAUUUCAUCUGUGAGCAUAGGGACGGCCUGACGGAUUGUCGUAGAAAUAUCUUUUUCAAAUUUAUGUUACUUGUUAGUUUCCAUCUCUUAGCAUAAUGUUCUGAUGGAUUGUCGUAGAGUGUCUGUCAAGUAUUCAUAUAAAAUAUCACUAUUUUUCCUGUGCUUGUAGUGCAUGGGGCUGAAACAUUAGUCAAGGUAGCUUUGAGGGGGUCUGUCCCAACGUCUGUCCAUGCUAAUGUAGUCUUUUAUUUCCCAUUUUCUCUUAUGUCUUUGAUUCGUCGCCCUUUUACCCUAUGAUGUGUCUGUUGCAAGUGAAGGUAGUGUGAAAGGCAAAUGGAUCAAGGUGGUUCAACCUGUUAAGCUGGUUCAGGGAUACAACGACAUACUUCUGUUAUCUGAGACGGUGGGAUUGCAGGUAAAGCUGGUUUAGAAGUUGAAUUACCCUAAAGACAGAUUUGAAUCAUAUUAUAUCUGAAGUAUUAUCUUAAAACUUGAAAGCAGUUAUAUUAACUUUUUGGUGAAACCUGAAGUUCUAUCAUUUCACACACUCAUCAGAACUGGGAAAAGACGAAAUAAUUCCCAUUGUCCAAAUUCCAUAUUUUGAAUCCCUAAUCUCAAUUUCUCUUUCUUAUUUAUUUCCUUACUUGAGUCAAUGGUAAUAAUGGAUGUUACAGGAUAAUUUCAAUUUCACUUUAUGGUUUAUCAAAUGUCCAAUAUGACUCAUCAAAGGCUUUCAAACUUCAGUCCUUACUGUCUUCAAGAGCUGAAAAAGACUUUUGCCACAUUUUCAGAAUUAUGGAGCCUUCUUAGAGAAGGAUGGGGCAGGCUUUAAAGGUCAGAUGAAGCUUACAGGAUGCAAAAAUGGGGAUAUUAAUCUCACAACUUCCUUAUGGACCUACCAGGUACCUCAUUUUCUUCGUUUAAAUGAAUCUUGAUAGUCACCUGUGACAAAAAGAUUAAACUUCUCAUUUGCUUUGGUAUUGAUAGUUACUCAGGUAACUUGCAGUUUGUAAUGAGUCCAAAGGUAGAUACUUCCCUUCACAUCUCGUGAGUGUUAAAACAAUUAAAAGAACCAAAAUCUGAGAAACUACUCUAGACAGACUAGACUGAAAGGACAAGUGGGUUUACUUUUCACUCCUUAGUGAUAUUUGAACAGUGUUAAUGGUGCUGAGCAAAUUGAUGAUAGCAUCGUGAAUAAGAUUUGGAAGAAGUCCCAAUUAGAUUCUGUCCAAAAGCUUUUAGACGCGCAUCUUUUCUCAGUGAAUAUCAGGUUUCUUUCAUGUCCAAGUAGAUUGCUAGUCUGCAAUUUCCUCUCAUUUGUAGACCCAUAGUGUGUUCCUUCGGUUAAGCUAAAAAAGACUUCCUAUAUCUACAGAAAAUAUAACCUGAAAAAAGCAAGGCUUCUAUAUCCAUCUGUCCUCUGCUUGUGAAUUUACAAAAUUUGAUAUAAUCCAGGCUUAUGCGCACAGAAUCAACUUGCAAAAAAAAAAAAGUACCAUUUCUUCCACGUGUGAAUAAACAAAAUUGAUCUUAAUGCGAAUUUGAAGAUGAUUAAACUUGCUUAAUGCUUUUUCAAUAUACAACUGUGAAUAGGAAGCGUGAAUUUUAGUUAUAUAUUCAACAGGUGGGGCUUAAAGGCGAAUUCCUGAAAGUAUACGAUGUCAAUAGUACUGAAAGUGCAGGAUGGACUGAGUUGUCCAAUGAUGAAAUUCCGACAGUCUUUUCGUGGUACAAGGUAAGUCAACAACGAUCAAAUACCAGAUUCAGCUGUCAGUGGGGAGAACUUGCUAAUUAUUGGCAAUAUCGUUUCCUAAAACUGGUGUUACUAUGCUACAUAUCUAUGACAUUGAUACCUUAAUAUGUGCUUGUGUCCUUUAUUUCCUUGAGCUAUAUUUAUUUGUGGGUGAACCAAGCCACCACAUUCGAUACUACUAGAAAGACUUGUCCUAGAAGAGAUGUUCGGUAUUGUUUGGUCAAUUUAUGUGAUCAUAUUUCAAGUUUUCCAUUACAUUCUAUAUUAAGAAUUUAUUCUCUAAGACCUCCCUCAAUUUUCAUAUUCCCUGUACUAUGUAAGAGUGGUGAGAACUUUUUGACCUUUCUCUUUUACUGCUAUGGUAAACUGAGAGUGCAAAAUGGAAAAUUUUCAAUCGGUACAGAACUUUCCAUUCUCACUGUAAUCAAUCAAUCGACUAUGUCUCAAUUUCAAAUUAAUUGGAGUCAACUAUAUGAAUUUCUUUGGAUCCAUUAUGUUCCACUCAGGACCAUUUCAUUGCAAUACAUGAUAAUUUGUUUUGUAAAGAAAAUUAGGAGUUCCCUCAAGAUUUCAAAAUCUCUUAUAUCAUUACAUGAAUCCUAAUCUGUCACCAGUAUAAAAGGACUUUCAAUAAACAUUGGUGAAAUUUAAGUAUAACAUCUAACAGUAUGCAUUUUAUGGGAUGAGUCAAGAUGUAUUUAAUAACUACUAAGCUUUAACCCAAGCAACUUGCUAUCACAUAUAUGGAUCCUUUACUUCCUCUUAGAUGGAGGUGAAAUCAUUGAUUGAAGAGGAGGGCAAGCAUUAUUUGCUUUUGACUUCUUCUCUGCCUGUUGAUUGUUAUAUAGCUAGAUGCUCAUAUUUCUUAUUCGUAGAUUGUAGACUAAAAUGUUAUUAGGUAAAAGGAAAAUCAUCCCUGUCAUUCCUUCCCGAGAAAAGGUUCCUGAUAGCUCGUAGAUAAGGGAUUCUCUACAGCCCUUUCAUUUAUUUUUUCUCAUACUCGUGCGAAAUUUCUUGAGACAGGUGCUUCUCUAUGUUUACUUUAAUUUUUGGUUGUGUUCGCUGGUCUAAGAGUGAUAUUAAGUGGAUUGUCUUGUUGGUUGAGCAGACAACAUUUGAUGCCCCAGGCGGGACAGAUCCCGUUGCCCUGGAUUUUAGUAGCAUGGGAAAAGGUCAGGCAUGGGUUAAUGGUCACCAUAUAGGAAGAUAUUGGACUUUGGUUGCUCCAAAUAAUGGAUGUGGAAGAACUUGUGAUUAUCGUGGUACUUACAACUCUGAUAAAUGUAGGACAAAUUGUGGAGAGAUUACUCAGGCGUGGUAUGCACCUCUUUUACUUGCUGAAAUUCUAGUUUACGUUGUAGGAAAUUUGUCUCCUAUGAUUGUAUGAGGCCACACCUGGCACCACGUCAUGUGUAGGCGCUGUGAAAUGGAUCUGAGUUGGCACAUUCUAUUGCUUAUGAAGUUUUUUUUUAUCCCGAAACAGGUACCACAUACCUAGAUCAUGGCUAAAUACAUCUAAUAAUGUACUAGUGAUCUUUGAAGAAACAGAUAGGACUCCAUUUGAGAUUUCCAUUUCUACACGUUCUACUGAAACCAUAUGUGCCCAAGUAUCGGAAAAGCACUAUCCACCUCUACAUACGUGGUCUCACUCAGAGUUCGACGGGAAAAUUUCUCUGACGGAUAAAACGCCAGAAAUGCACUUGCAAUGUGACAAAGGGCAUAAAAUCUCAUCUAUCGAAUUUGCAAGCUAUGGAACUCCGAAUGGCAGCUGUCAAACAUUUUCUCAAGGCAAAUGUCAUGCUGCAAAUUCCUUGUCUGUUGUGUCUCAGGUAUGUCCAUUUGUUUCUAUUUUUUAUCUUUUAUGAUUCUGAGUUUCAUGGUAACCUAUCUUUGUUAGAAUAUGAUUGCUAUAAGUAGAUAGCAAUGUUAGUGUCCAACUACUCCAAGGUCAUGAUCUGACAUGAAAAAAUUAGCUAAAACAUUGGGAAUUGUAUGUCAUGCUAGUGUUAGUGUGCUAUGCUAGUACGGAUAUAUGUACACGCUGCUGUAGGUUCUUGUGUCUGCACCUUGUAAAUUGUAACAUGGUUAUGUACUUACUCUCAGCGUAUUUGCUACUUAUGUAUGUAGCCUAGGGUCUUUCGGAAACAACCUCUCUACCUCCACGAGGUGGUGGUAAGGUCUUUGUACACUCUCCUCCCCAGACCCCACUUGUGGAAUUUCACAGGGUACAUUGUUCGGUGGUUGUUGGUGUAUGUACUUAUACAGAUGGUUGCCUUGCCUAUAAAUUUGCAAGAUCUUGUAUCUACUGGUAUUUUUUAAAUACAAAGGUGUCAGGUUACCGACCAGAUAACAUCAAAUGGGAUGGGCCGCAUAGGAGGGGUCAGUAUUUCAACCUUAUGGUUCUGGAUUUAGAACGACGAUUUCAAGUACUAAUAAUUAGGUCCUUUAAUACGUCAACAUAUUUAAUGAACUUUUUAACACAACUAUACUGUUUGAGCAAAAGUUGCUGGGUUCGGCUGAGGGAUGGGGUCUGAUUUCAGUUUGGUGCAGAAGGUGAUCGUGUUUGUCUCUCAAAUACCAUGAGUCUUAAUCAAACUUCCAUUUUACUACAGGCUUGUGAGGGAAGAAACAGUUGCAGCAUUGGCAUUUCCAAUGCCGUAUUUGGAGAUCCAUGUCGACACAUUGUGAAGAGUUUGGCUGUUCAGGCAAAAUGCUUGCCACCGCCGGAUGUCAGCACUUUAGCUUCCUCAUGACACGAUCUGGUAAAGCUUUAAACUUGCCCUUAACUCCUACUUGUUGCCCUACCCGAGCCCCUACAUCGUUACAAUCACUUGGAGAAAACAUACAUGGACGAUUAUAUCUGUAAAUGUUCGGUUACUGUAUAUAAUAUGAAAUGAAUAAAUGUCUCAAUAUCUAUUGCUGAUAAAUAUGAACAAGUUAUAUUGACUAAAGUAACAAUGCUAUUGGCUUUAAUGUCUCCUUCAGAGAGGUCAUUCAGGUUUCAAUUAAAUUUAGAAUGUACUCCCUUUUUCUCUCCCAAGGGAGUGGCCUCGCGGUCAAUGAAAUAUAAUCAUUGUUCUAUCUGAGGUAAAAUCAUUAGUUGAUAAUAUGAUUUCCUUUCAUUUGUUUAAGUCUUGGUGGAUAGAGUUUUUUUGUUAUUCCCCUCGUUACAAUUUACGUCACACUAAAAAGUAACACCGCUAUUGUACCAUGAUUUUUUUUUUUGAAGAAUUAUUAUUAUUAAUAUGUUUUUCUAAUAGUAACUCCACCAGCUUGUCUACUUGACUACUUUAUGAAACGUGCAAUAUUUCUUAAUUUUGUGUAUCAAUCAACACCAACAAGACAUAGAAAGGUCAAAACAGUCAUAAAUUGGACAAAACAUAUUCUAUUUCUAUCAAGUAUUAACCAUCACGUCAACACCUUAUAAACAACUGUCCACAAACAUUGGUCCAUCAAUUUUUUGAAAUAAAAAGAAACCUCACAAUUUUCUCUAAUAUUCUCUAAUAAUAGCAUAGAUAGGUUGAAUGAUCGAUAAGACCCCCACCUUUUUAUUGAGUCGUCUGAUUAUUAGGUGUCACAAAUCUUUGCUUCCUCCUGCGCCUGACUCUGGAUGUCGAAAAAUAUAAGCUAUCAAAACAUAUUGAAGCUAUGGGAGGAGUCGGAGACUCGUGCUCGCGAACACCUACGGUAACAAAUUGUUGUCGUUUAGGAUUAUAGAUGAAAAGUUGAUGACAUGACACUCCUUGAAAGACAACUUCACCAUCUUUGGUGCAACAUAAAAGCUUCAUGUCUUGUACUCCUUGACAAAUAGUAGGUAAGUUGCAUACGUUCAUUAACCAUUUCCAGUUUCCAUCUUGUUCCAUGAUCCAUAUGUUCGAUUCUUUAUCAGUCUUUUUGCCACCAUAUAAACAAAGGCAGCUUCUCAAAGUAAAUAACUGAAAGAUCUCGUCCUCACCUACGAAAUCUGGUAUUGGAAGCUCUUUCACUUCAACUGAUUUAAUGUCGAAAUAUAUGAUUGUAGAUGUUCGAUCUACAUAUGGAUAUGCACGAUGAUGCAUAAACCAAAAUACGCGACCUUCGAUGCUAACUAACGGAGAACAAGUAGCAUAUGAUUUUGCUGGAUAGGGGAACACUUUUUUCUCUGUCCAAGAAUUGUUAUUCAAAGAGUGGACACCAUAAAAUGAGUAACUCAUCAGUAUUAUAACCUUGUAGUCAUCGACUCCAGAAUCAUAACACAAUCCACAAGCAAGUGGAACUACCGGGUGGUUUGUCGCGCUUUCCCUGUAAGGAUAUCGAAGUUCGAUAUUCCCUGGUAGAUGGAUUCCACAAAAAGAAAUAUAAAUAGGCGUGAGGGUUCAUUAAAAGUGACAAGCCCUCACACGAGCACAAUACUUGAGCACGAUGGAAUUUCUUUCGAGGAAUCCAUUGCUUUUCCAUAAUAACUAAUUCCGAGUUUUCCAACUCUCCAAACUCGAAUUCACCGGUCUUUCUUCCUAGCAAAAUCUUUUCGCGUUCCAACGCUUUGGAGUGAUCGCGGUGGGAUUUCUUGAAUUCACUGUCGGAUAUCAUCGCUCUCCACGGCUUAGAAACGGACUGAAAACGUAACAAAGAUUUAACAGGAAGUCGAAUAAUGUUGGAAUAAAGGAUAUCACACGAAAAAAUAGACAUAUCAUCUUCAAAGUCAGGCUGCCUCUUUACUAAUCUCUUCUUCGACAUUGUGUCUCAUAUAAUUAGGUUCAUAAAAAGGGUGUUAUUAAUUUUUUUUUUUUUUCAUAUAUAUAUAUAGGAGCAGAAAAAUAGAAUCUAAUUUUAAUUAAGGAGUUGUUUUUGUACUAGGAGUAGAGAAACCAAAAACGAUACCAAAUUACAAAAUUAACCAAAAUUACCAAAUCAAAAAAGGGUUGAUUACUCAAAAUGUACCCUUUUUAGGUUAUUAUUAAGAUUUGUCUCUAUUUUAAAAAGGAAAUAGUCACUCGCCUUAAUUAAAAAAUACGAUAAUAAUUUUUCUUAUUUACGAAACGUAACCCUAAUCAUUUGUGAUUUUGGCUCAAAAUCAGUAUGAAAUUCGUUUCGAGUAGGUGAUAUCUCA